GACGAACGCUGGCGGCGUGCCUAAUACAUGCAAGUAGAACGCUGAAGGAGGAGCUUGCUUCUCUGGAUGAGUUGCGAACGGGUGAGUAACGCGUAGGUAACCUGCCUGGUAGCGGGGGAUAACUAUUGGAAACGAUAGCUAAUACCGCAUAAUAGUAGAUGUUGCAUGACAUUUACUUAAAAGGUGCACUUGCAUCACUACCAGAUGGACCUGCGUUGUAUUAGCUAGUUGGUGGGGUAACGGCUCACCAAGGCGACGAUACAUAGCCGACCUGAGAGGGUGAGCGGCCACACUGGGACGGAGACACGGCCCAGACUCCUACGGGAGGCAGCAGUAGGGAAUCUUCGGCAAUGGACGAAAGUCUGACCGAGCAACGCCGCGUGAGUGAAGAAGGUUUUCGGAUCGUAAAGCUCUGUUGUAAGAGAAGAACGAGUGUGAGAGUGGAAAGUUCACACUGUGACGGUAUCUGACCAGAAAGGGACGGCUAACUACGUG
rnacentral:rRNA from 1 species